rnacentral:tRNA from 1 species
UAGCUCAGUGGUAGGGUGCCUGCCUAAUAAGUAUGAGGCCCUGGGUUCCAUCCCCAG